UCUUAGAUGACUGAGUGAGAAGUGCUAGACUUUUAAUCUAGAGACGGCAUAAAAUAAAAUUGCCUCUAAGAA
rnacentral:tRNA from 1 species